rnacentral:rRNA from 1 species
UACGUAGGGAGCAAGCGUUGUCCGGAAUCAUUGGGCGUAAAGAGCGCGUAGGCGGUCCGGUAAGUCGGUUGUGAAAACUGGGGGCUCAACCUUCAGACGCCGACCGAUACUGUCGGGCUAGAGUCCGGAAGAGGCGAGUGGAAUUCCUGGUGUAGCGGUGAAAUGCGCAGAUAUCAGGAGGAACACCGGUGGCGAAGGCGGGUCUCUGGGCCGAUACUGACGCUGAGGAGCGAAAGCGUGGGGAGCAAACAGG